rnacentral:lncRNA from 1 species
UGCUCUGGAAAGCCAUUCUGGUGGUGCUCUAGCGAGCCAUUUCGGUGGUGCUCCGACGAGGCAUUUUGGAAUAUAAAAAAUGAUGCAAUGAGUCAUCCUAUUCCCUCCCCUUUUGGAACAAGAUCUUUCGACACCUUGGGCCCUUGGUCGUGCCGGAGCAUCAAGCAUCAUCGGCACCUUGGUGCUUGGAUGUGCGGGAGCUUCGAACACCAUUGAUAACCUAGUGUCAUGGGUUGCGCAUGUGAGGCCACAACCAUAAAACAUUUGUGCUAUCUAUCAAGUGGAAAGGUCAUUUGGCUCGAUUGGACUAGCCCGUUGCUUGAAGAGAUUAAAGGUCCAUCUAUAAGCUUGACACAUAUGAAGACAUAAUCUUCGAGGAUAUGCAAUCUUGGAUAUGAUAUGUAAUCUUAGAAGAUAUGAUUUUGUAAUCUUAGAGAUUUGAUUUGUAGAUAUCCUUUAAUUUUAGUCGUUGAUGUAUUUGAUUUGUACCGUUG